rnacentral:tRNA from 14 species
GGCCAGGUAGCUCAGUCGGUAGAGCAGAGGAUUGAAAAUCCUUGUGUCGGCAGUUCGAUUCUGCCCCAGGCCACCA